rnacentral:rRNA from 1 species
GUGCAGCAGUCGAGAAAACUUCACAAUGUGCGAAAGCACGAUGAGGGAAUCCCAAGUGCUUGCACGUAAGUGUAAGCUGUUUCUCUGUCUAAAACGCAGAGAGAGUAAGGGCUGGGUAAGACGGGUGCCAGCCGCCGCGGUAAUACCUGCAGCUCGAGUGGUGACCGUUAUUAUUGGGCCUAAAACGUCCGUAGCCGGUUUAAUAAAUGCCUGGGUAAAUCGGAUCGCUUAACGGUUCGAAUUCCGGGUAGACUGUUAAACUUGAGACCGGGAGAAGUUAGAGGUACUCCUGGGGUAGAGGUGAAAUUCUGUAAUCCUAGGGGGACCACCAGUGGCGAAGGCGUCUAACUAGAACGGGUCUGACGGUGAGGGACGAAGCCCUGGGGCGCAAACGGGAUUAGAUACCCCCGUAGU